rnacentral:rRNA from 1 species
GACGAACGCUGGCGGCGUGCCUAAUACAUGCAAGUCGAACGACGAGACUUUAACUGAUGCUUGCAUCGACCAAAGGAUCGGAGUGGCGAACGGGUGAGUAACACGUGGGUAACCUGCCUAUCAGAGGGGGAUAACACUUGGAAACAGGUGCUAAUACCGUAUAACCAUGAUGACCGCAUGGUCAUGAUGUAAAAGGUGGUUUUGCUAUCGCUUUUGGAUGGACCCGCGGCGUAUUAACUAGUUGGUAAGGUAACGGCUUACCAAGGUGAUGAUACGUAGCCGAACUGAGAGGUUGAUCGGCCACAAUGGGACUGAGACACGGCCCAUACUCCUACGGGAGGCAGCAGUAGGGAAUCUUCCACAAUGGGCGCAAGCCUGAUGGAGCAACGCCGCGUGAAUGAAGAAGGUCUUCGGAUCGUAAAGUUCUGUUAUUAGAGAAGAACACGUGUAAGAGUAACUGAUUAUGCGUUGACGGUAUCUAAUCAGCAAGUCACGGCUAACUACGUGCCAGCCGCCGCCGUAAAAC